GAUUCUGUGUGGAGGGCGGUGAGGUGAGGCGGAGACGGGAAGAGAAGGGUAGGGUAGGGUAGGGUAAAAAUUGACGAAGUCUAGGAGGCAAGGGCCAGAAAAUGCCCCGAGCUGUGCCUAAUGAGCUUCCUGCAGCAUCGAGUCGUCGCCUCUACGGGCUGCCAUUCAGGAUCUGUGACAGCACGGUGAUUCAGAAUUCGAGCGAACGAGAUCCGAGGUAGGGACGAGAUUCGCCAAGUCGGUGACAAUCGGCAGCUAGCGUGGCUAUUGUUUCAACGAACCGAGCCUCUCUACCCUCUACGAGAGAAACAGGGAGAAAGAGAGAAAGAGAGAGAGAGAGAGACUUUGAAAACGUUUUAAUAACCCGCUCUUCCCUUGGUGGAUGCCUUUCUGUUUUUUCCUUCGCCUCGUUCGUUUCCUCCUUUAACCUAGAAGAGAAGAGCCGACUCGAGCGCCAAGUAAGACGGGCAAGCUCUGUUGGUAAUUAUGCGUGUUCGGAUCGCGAGAACGAUGUUUUAAACUUUCCUUUUGCUGUAUCGAUUCGUGUGUGACGAUGAUGAUGAGAAAAAGACUCGUUCUUAUCCGUUCCUAGGUAAAUAAUAUCCAAUCAAAUAUUUGAAAUUCAUUUCCUCCGGUAUUAACGAUCCUGGUAAAUAAUUCUCGAUCAAAUAUUUGAGAUAACCUCGAAUUCGAAGAGUGACUUUUAUUAUUGCAAGCAAUUUUUUUUCGCGAUUACCGAACUAGUUGCGGCUCUUUUUUGUCGUUUUUACACGAUUGAAAGAGUACGUUUGAAUAGGAUUCCCCUCUCCUCCUCCCCCGAUAUUAACACUCUUGGUAAAUAAUUCUCGAUCAAAUAUUUGAGACUCGUCAAAAAUUCGAAGAAGAGAUCUUUAUUAUCAUAGGCCUUUCUUUUUUCUUUUUUUUUUUUGUUGGUUUUGAUUCUUAUAAUUGAAAAAUGUAUUUUAAUAGUAACGAAGUAAAUAUGAUAUUUUAUUUCUAGAGAUGAAAUCCGAAACAGGCGCAAGAUCCAGUAAAAAUAUUAUCCAAAUUUAAAUCCGGACGGUCUCAUAGUUUUUCAUAAACGAGAAAUUAAAAUUCUUGUUAUGCGAAAGCGCAUAAGCAUGAAGAGACAAGAGGCGAAACUUUAAUGAAAUAAUACUUACACGUCUAUAGUGUAUGGGUGAAGUCAAAAAUGCAAAAGAAUUAGAUCGUCGUUUAAUUUCCAUUAAAAAUAGACAUCCUAAUAACGAAUCGAUAAAAUGAUAAAUAAUUUUCUAAAUUAAACGCGUAACGCAUAUUUACAAACAUUUGAUAUUUACUUGUACACUGUAUAAAGUAAUCUUUGAGAAAUAUAAUACAUAGAAAAUGUUAAUAAUUUAUAUUAAUUUAUUUCCAUACGUUUAAUAAUUCACGCAUCCUACAAGCCUGGUAGCGAAAUUAAAUUACAAUCUCGUACUAAUAUUAUUUGUUAAAACGUUGAUGAUACAUUAAUCGAAAAGAUAGAUGCGUGUCCGCUCAUUACAGUGUACGAUGAGCACAUAAUUGCACACCUAUAUCUCUCUAACGUACAAUUCACGUGUCCAUAAUUCCGUUCGAAAUCAUAAAUUACACGGCAAUUGAUUUGCGCACACAAUUUUGUGGAAUCAUCUCGAAAUAAUGGGUUCGGUCAUAAAUAUCGGUAUAGAAAUUUCCCGAUGGAAUUAGCUGUUGGUACGACAUAUCCUCUAGGGAAUUUCUCUCGAGAAUCAUUGUUCCGAAUCAAAACGAUGCGGUUUCGAAAGAAGAGGAAAAAACUUUUCCCGCGUACGUUUAAUCAUAGAGACGCGAUUAA